rnacentral:rRNA from 1 species
ACGCUGGCGGCGUGCUUACACAUGCAAGUNNCACGAGAACGCUUCAGCUUGCUGGAGCUAGCUAAAGUGGCGCACGGGUGAGUAACGCGUGGGUAAUCUACCUCCAAAUUGGGGAUAACAUUGCGAAAGCGAUGCUAAUACCGAAUAAUAUCUCAAAAACUUCGGUUUUUGAGAUUAAAGGUGGCCUCUCCAUGGAAGCUACUGUUAGGAGAUGAGCCCGCGUACCAUUAGCUUGUUGGUAGGGUAAUGGCCUACCAAGGCAACGAUGGUUAGCUGGUCUGAGAGGAUGAUCAGCCACACUGGAACUGACACACGGUCCAGACUCCUACGGGAGGCAGCAGUGAGGAAUUUUGCGCAAUGGGGGAAACCCUGACGCAGCAACGCCGCGUGAGUGAUGAAGGCUUUCGGGUCGUAAAGCUCUGUCAAGUGGGAAGAACCUGCCCUGUGCUAAUAUCACUGGGCACUGACGGUACCGCUGAAGGAAGCACCGGCUAACUCCGUGCCAGCAGCCGCGGUAACACGGGGGGUGCAAGCGUUAUUCGGAAUCACUGGGCGUAAAGAGCGCGUAGGCGGUCUCUUAAGUCAGAUGUGAAAGCCCGGGGCUCAACCCUGGAAGUGCAUUUGAAACUAAGGGACUUGAGUAUGGGAGAGGGAAGUGGAAUUCCUGGUGUAGCGGUGAAAUGCGUAGAUAUCAGGAGGAACACCGGUGGCGAUGGCGACUUCCUGGNACCAAUACUGACGCUGAGGCGCGAAGGCGUGGGGAGCAAACAGGGAUUAGAUACCUGGUAGUCCACGCAGUAAACGUUGAACACUAGGUGUAGCGGGUAUUGACCCUGCUGUGCCGCAGCUAACGCAUUAAGU